CAUCUCUUACCAACACCAUCUAUACAGCAAUGCCUGAAUCAGAGAACGCUUUAAGCCCAAGUCUGCACCUGGCAGCACUUCCUUCUUCAACAAUAAACUGAAUAAAGACUUCUGGGUUCCUAUUGUGUGCCAUGCCGUUUGGCAGGGGGGUCGCUGCAGGAACAUGUGUCAUAUUGGUCACUUAUCAUCCACUCCACCUUUUCUUCUGGCAGCAGCCCUUGAGUUUCUUUUAGGGAGCCACUCCCACCCACCCCUGCUUAGUCGGCUUGGCUUAGACAGGCUCCACCCCCAGCUCCAGGCUGGAGCACGUGACUGAGGGCUGGCCAAUCACGGCACUGAAUUCCUCUUGCUAGCGAUUCAUGUAGUGAUUGAGUCACUCAGGUUCCUCCAAUAGCAAUGAACCAAGGACCUAAGUGGGACGUACCAGGGAGAUAUUUUCCUCCUGAAGUUACUUACCGAAAUGGUGACGUGAGCCUGGAAUGGCCAGGAGCCACUACAUAGUACCUAAAAUAAACCCACACUGCGGGAGGCAGAGCUAAGACAGAGAAAAAUGGAAUUCUGAAGAUAUUAUUAGAGCUGCUAUCAAUCUGGCCCUAGCCCCGAACUUUUCAAUUACUUGGGCCAAUAGAUUUUCUCCUCCCACCCCAUCUUCUUGGCUGAAGCCAGUUUGAAUUAGUUUUUGUCUUUUGCCACCAACACUGAAAGAGUUUUGAUAUAGAGACGGAUGAAAAGACAGCAUUCCUGAUCCUGAGGCGGCAGACGUAAACUCAAGUGUGAGAAAUUGUUGGGAAGAUUGAAAGAGCAGAUUCGAGGAGGCUAUGCUUCAAGAGCAGCUUUCCAGAACCACACCACAGGACUGGCUGCUUCUGGGCCCCACAGCCACGAUGCCUCUGCACCAAUCAGGAAGCUGCUGGUUUUAGAAUAACCAAAUGUCUCCACCCGUGUUUGCCAGUAAAAUCAUCUCCCUAUGCCUGGUUUCCUCCUCAUCAGGCUUCAUUUUUCCUUCCAUGUUUUGUGAGGAGUCUGUCAUUACUUUUUGCCAUUAAAAGUAAUGGCAAAAUCCGCAA